rnacentral:rRNA from 1 species
UGCAGUCGAACGAUGAAGCUGGAGCUUGCUCCGGCCGAUUAGUGGCGAACGGGUGAGUAACACGUGAGCAAUCUGCCCUUGACUCUGGGAUAACUGCGGGAAACUGUAGCUAAUACCGGAUACUUUCCUCGCUGGGCAUCCAGCGGGGAAGAAAGAAUUUCGGUCAAGGAUGAGCUCGCGGCCUAUCAGCUAGUUGGUGAGGUAAAGGCUCACCAAGGCGACGACGGGUAGCCGGCCUGAGAGGGUGACCGGCCACACUGGAACUGAGACACGGUCCAGACUCCUACGGGAGGCAGCAGUGGGGAAUAUUGCACAAUGGGCGAAAGCCUGAUGCAGCAACGCCGCGUGAGGGAUGAAGGCCUUCGGGUUGUAAACCUCUUUUAGCAGGGAAGAAGCGAAAGUGACGGUACCUGCAGAAAAAGCACCGGCUAACUACGUGCCAGCAGCCGCGGUAAUACGUAGGGUGCAAGCGUUGUCCGGAAUUAUUGGGCGUAAAGAGCUCGUAGGCGGUUUGUCACGUCUGCUGUGAAAAUCCGAGGCUCAACCUCGGACUUGCAGUGGGUACGGGCAGGCUAGAGUGCGGUAGGGGAGAAGGGAAUUCCUGGUGUAGCGGUGGAAUGCGCAGAUAUCAGAGGAACACCAAUGGCGAAAGCACUUCUCUGGGCCGUAACUGACGCUGAGGAGCGAAAGCGUGGGGAGCGAACAGGAUUAGAUACCCUGGUAGUCCACGCCGUAAACGGUGGGUGCUAGCUGUGGGCCACAUUCCACG